AACAAAAGUCAUGAUAUAACGACGUGAGGGUUUUCCAAGUCUUUGGCCCCUUUUACUCCCUCUCCCUUACCAAAUGCUUUUUGACAUUUCUCUAUAACCUUAUCUAUUCCUUGACAUGUACUAGGCUAUGUGAAUUUUAAAAGUCUCCAUCUUGGUCUAGCACCCAAAAAUUGUGCACACCCACACUACACGGGCAUGUGCUAGUCAAUGACAAAUCAGAAAUAACUAACUGCCCACCUGGGCUGUCCUAAGCCAAGCUAGAACCAACCAUUGGAUUUUGUGAGACACAGGAAGUGAGGUAGGGAUCAGCCUCUGGAAUUCGCUCACUUCCUGUGGAGAGAGCUAGAGGAGGGUUGGUGUUAGGAGCUUGGAGAGAGAGGACGCCCGCAGACAGCUUUCCUUCAGAUCGGUCACGUGAGUUAAGGACUGAUUCUUUCCACCUGGGCCUUUAGGCCUAAAACUCCCUCUGCCUUGGUCAGAGGUUGAGUAGCCCCUUUUCCCUUUUCUCUUUUCUCCUUCUCUCCCUCUCCCUUUCCCUACUCCCGUUGUGAUUAAACCUCCAUAAACUUUAUUCUGACUUGAGUGUUCAUUUUAGGAAUUUCAUAAGUAAAUUCCUUGGCGGCCAUUGUUCAAUAUUACAAAAAUCCUGUAGCCACAUUUUAGCCAUUACAAUAUUAUAACCCUCUCCCAGAGGCCUAAAAUUUCCUCCAUUACAGUUUUGGCGAACCACUACGGGAAAAAGACCUAUAUCAGUCUUCUGAUCUCCUUACUAAUCACCCGGGGAGAAGUCCCACCCCGGCUACCCCCUCUGGCUCUUGGCCCUGCCUUAGUGCUUGGAAGGUUUCUAGAACCUCAAUAAAUUUCCUGAAUUUUCUUGCCUUUUCACCCCACUUAUUGCUCACUCCGUCAGUCCUUUUACCAAAUACCUUGGCUUAAAGACACAGCUGCCAGAACAGGAAUUACAGCACAAACUGCGUGAGCUACAUGAAUCCGGAGCUGCAGUACAAGCUGGACCACUAGACUUCUCACUUCACGACCUGAACCCAGGAGACAAAGUUUAUAUUAAGAACUUCCAGCGUACAGGAGCAACCCAGCCUUCCUGGGAAGGACCAUUCCAAAUAUUGUUAACUACUCCAACAUCUAUAAAGGUUGGAGAAAAGGACUCUUGGAUUCACUGUUCUCAUGUAAAGAGAGCAUCUUCUGUUGAGACUGAUUGACUGUAUCCUAUACAUACAUUGGAGAUAACUACCCAUUGACAAGUGGAACUGUUUUAUUCUGUUUUUGACACAUUGAAUUCCUAAAUUUAAUUUUUCCUUUUUUCUCUUUUCCUUAUUUUAUUAUUAUUAUUAUUUUUACAUUAUUUUAUUUUUUCCCUUUUUCUCAUUUCUAUGUACUUAAGGUACAUAUGAUCAAUAUUAAAAUUUUAUUCUACAAUAUUAGUUUAAAUAUAUAUACUUGUUGUUAUUAUUAAUACGCACCCAAAUAGCUUUAGACUAUGGGAACCUGCCAUUUAUUGAUAAUUGUUGUGGGACUAUGAUUAAUGUUUGUGUCUGAUUCUAGGAACGAGAUCAAACAAGGAGCACAGAGAUAACCUGGAUAAUGCCAAAAGAGCUCACAGGUCUAAAAAUCAAAGACCAAUCCAGGAAGGAUUAAUGCAUUUCUAAGCCAAUACUAAGGACUUGAACCUAGUGUGAGACUCGGGGUUGCGACACUUGACAGACGUUAAGAUGUAGGCCUUCCCUGUAUCCACACUCUUCGUGAAAAUACCUACAGACAAGUACCUAAGGUUGGCUACCAUCCUGGCUCCAUCCAUCCCUGAGAACGAAGGUAAAAUCAGACGAGGGAAUAACACUUCCCUAGAUAUAAAAAAAGAAAUCUGGUCCUCUUUUUUCUCUCCUAUAGUAUGGCAACUUCCUGUAGCCUUGGCUGCAAAUGGGGAAGUAAAAUAUGCUACAUUCUGUCCUACAGACUUGUGGGAUUAGAAAUUACUUAACUGGACCCUAAUACAGGGGCCUGUGGAAAAAAAAAUUUUUUUUUUAUUCUUGCUUUUUCAAAUUUUGUAUACAUAGAUUUUUUGAUUUUGAUACUGAUUUUGAAUUCUUCUUUAAUAUAAAUAUGCAUAUAUAAAGGGUUUAUAUAUUUUUCCCUUAAUUUUUUCCCUUUUUCUUCUUUUGAUUUUGAUUUUUGAUUUUGAUUUUCAUCUUGUUUUGUUUUUCUUUUGAAUUAACUCACACACCCCCACAACUAAAACUUGAAUCCUCAGCUGGACUCAGUGUUUUUUUCAACACUUUCUUCAGGGGGGAUUGUAUUUCAUCAAAUCCAAGAUUUAAAUUUUGUUCGAGAUAAAUCUUCAGAGAAGAAGCUUGCUAACUAACUGAAUCCAGAGAAUGAACUGUUUGCAGAAAGAUAUCUAAACCUUUUCACUACAGGAAGAUCCAGAAUGAACCUUGGGGUGUGGUUGAUUGAACAUUUUUUAAUGUACACUCUUAUGCCAAAGGGGACUGCCCCCUAAUUGGCUUUUGUCAAUGAGCCCAGCAAAACAUUGGUUUGCUGUCUUUCUCUCUCCUCUGUUUCCCCAUAUUUACAGCUAUUAUAAUUUUCCACUUAGUAAAAAAAAAAAAAUUUUGUAUACACUUACAGUUAGAAAUUUUUGGGGUGCAGUAUGCUUAUGUUUAGUGAUCAAUUGGGGAGACUAGUCUCCCAAUCAUCAUCAGGGGGGAUUGUGAAUUUUAAAAGUCUCCAUCUUGGUCUAGCACCCAAAAAUUGUGCACACCCACACUACACGGGCAUGUGCUAGUCAAUGACAAAUCGGAAAUAACUAACUGCCCACCUGGGCUGUCCUAAGCCAAGCUAGAACCAACCAUUGGAUUUUGUGAGACACAGGAAGUGAGGUAGGGAUCAGCCUCUGGAAUUCGCUCACUUCCUGUGGAGAGAGCUAGAGGAGGGUUGGUGUUAGGAGCUUGGAGAGAGAGGACGCCCGCAGACAGCUUUCCUUCAGAUCGGUCACGUGAGUUAAGGACUGAUUCUUUCCACCUGGGCCUUUAGGCCUAAAACUCCCUCUGCCUUGGUCAGAGGUUGAGUAGCCCCUUUUCCCUUUUCUCUUUUCUCCUUCUCUCCCUCUCCCUUUCCCUACUCCCGUUGUGAUUAAACCUCCAUAAACUUCA